UAAAGGGGCCUCAAAAUCCCAGAAACACAGCGUAAAAGAUCCCAGGGGCUGGCUUUAUCGCCUCUAGUCUGUGGUGUGCCCAUAUGGAAAUGGCCAGAGAAAGCUGGCCUUCAGGGGGAGAAAAGUGAAAAUGGGCAGAGAAAACAUAAGAAACCCUGGAAAUCUGAGGAUCAAUGUGGAGACAAGUUGACAAGCAAACAGACUGCCUGAGCUCAGUGCCCGUCUGCUGUCCAGUUCCUGGAUCCUGCCCCUGGUUGUCUUCCCUGCUAUUGAGAAGUAUCCUAUAGCAAUUAGGACCUCAUUAUAUUGAAGUAACUUUAAGUGGGUUUCUGUAACUUGUGAUCAAGCAAUUCCUGAUCAAGGCAACCACAGUCUCAUUUGGCCAACUUUAGCUCAUGAAGAUUAUUUCUGCUUCCGUGUUUUGCUUUCCACACAGAGAGAGACCUGUCCUCAGCCAAAACCACAGAGUUGACUCCAGUCAGCUAUUCCUUGAGGGAACAUCUGUUGCUUAGCUGGCACAUUGGAAAUUCCAAGUUUUUAAGAAGCCAGCAGUAUAUGAUCAAGUACAAGAGACCCUAUGUUCCACAUUCAACACAUUGAAGGUGGCCUCCUGUAAAGGCAAUGAAGGUUGGGCAGACUCCACUCAAUACCCAUGGGGGGUGUGACCCAGAGGCAGCCUGAGUCAGAGAAGACUGAUAGCUCUGGACUAGCUCCCGAGGAAGCUCUGGCAUCCAAAGAGGCAAAGCGCCUGCUGCUCAGAUGCUGUGGGACUGCGCAUGCUCUUACGCUCCACAUAGCCAAGGAUUCCUAGAAAAGGCUGAUCUAUACCACAGCACAAAAUCCUACUGACAUCUAUCAUCUCUCUCAAGAGUGAUUGACAGUUGCCAACAACAUAAACCACUAGAACUAAGCUCUUAACUUAGUUUGCACUAAGUAAAGGGUUGAUACAUUGGCAAGUAGAUGGGGAGAUGGUGUCUUUUAGACCUCGCUGAAGUCCUGCCAUGCAACUUUAAAUAAUCAGCUAGGCGUAAACAAGUGCCACUAAUAAAGUAUUUCUGAAGCACUUCCCAAUGUAGCCUCAUUUAUCUCUUCCACACUCUAUAUUCCAUUUUAAGAUUUAUCUAUGAAGUUGUAGUCAGUGUAUAGAUCAUGGCAUUUAGAAAGCAGAAAGCCCACAAUCUACCUCUUCCUGUCUGAUUGUACCAGUGUACUAGAGGAUGUCCUUAAAGCACAAUAUAGAAAAGCCUAUCCCUUCUAGUCCUGGAUUAAUUUGGAGGUGGGUGGAGGGAAGUCAAAUACUGAUUGUGGAAGAUGUACUCUAAGGCUCUUGUUCUUCAAAUUCCAUGAUUCUUGGGAAAAAGUUGCAAUAGAGUGGGCCCCAGUGAUAAGCAUUCUAAUAGGAUCAGGAAGCCAGAGGACUUUGCAGGUAGUAAGGGCUUAAGCAAACCUCCCUGGCUCUACUAGGGGGAACCUUUACAAGGGAGAGCUUCUGUACUUUCCUUUUUCCAACAAGAAGGCAGUAGCCAUGGGAAGAUGGCCAUGGCGAUAGGCUACUAGAAGGCUUCUUGUUUCCUGUCACCUGAAUGGGAUGUAUUAAGGAACCCAGAAAUUCCCAUUUGUCACAGGUAAGGGGGCCCAGCAAUGCUUAAAACACAAUAAAACAGCAAAGUCCUGAAGUUGGAACAGAAAAGCCACUGUAGACUCAGAUGUUGAGACAAUGGGAAAAUGUCUAGGAUCCUAGCCUACAGCAGUGGGCACUAGAUGGGACAUGCUAUGUCAUAGCAGUCACCAGGUUGGCAAGCAGACCAGACUGGCCACCCUCCAGCUGAACCAGCAAGGACCCCUUUAACACUGCAUAGGUCUGAAGAACCUUCCUCCUCUGCUGCCAUGAGCUAACAUAAAUUAUACCCAGACACCACCUUGGAAAGGAGCAGAGGAAAGAGAAAAUUUUGAGAAUUUGAGAAUUUUCUUAAAAGGACUAGCCAGCAAAUAGGUUCCCUAUGAGGAGGAUGAGAUGAAUUGUGGGAAAAUUAGAGUAGCCACAUUUGCUUUGCAAAUCUGUACAUGAAGGGUGAGUAUUUUUGCCACCUCGGUGCAUUGAGGCUAGCAGGGGCUUUCCUAGGAUUUUAGAGGUUCUGUGUGCAGAAAAUUUUUGUACCAUAGAGUGAUUACAAACCUCAGGCUAACAUAAAAAAAAUCUGAGUUAAGGCUAUGACCCAGGAAUAGUAAGAAUUUGCAAAUGCAGAUAGAGGAUAGUCAGCAUAAAGUAGAAAAGAGGGCUUAAGAGAGGUUAUCACUAGAGCCCCUUCUUGUACUGUAAAUUUUUUACAAGUAGACCCACUUUUUUCAGAGAAAGAAAUUCAAUAUUAUCAACAUCAAUUCAAACCUGGAACAUAUUUGGAGAUGGUACUUUUGGAAAAAGAGACUAGACUCCACAGCUAAUGUUUCAUAAUGUCAGUCCACUCAAGGAGAUCCAAGGAGUUGGGAAAUGGAUCCAUGCCAGUCCUGGUAUUAGAGAGCCAGCUAAUACUUAUCCUUCUGUUGAGCAAAACAGCUGAGGUUAGAGAAUAUAUACCUACUGGGAGUAAAGGGGACCAUGGCUAGAGAUAGGAUUGUAUCACCAAUCUUUAUCUGCCAAUGCCUUUAGAUGGAGACAGCUAUCCAUCCCCACCCAAGUAUUCAAGGUCCACUAGACGUUUAUCCAAGCUCAAUGGAAGAAUUUCCUAUACACAAUCAGCAGCUCCUGAAGGGUGAGGGGUACAGUGAAGUAAAAUACCUGUAUUGGGAAGAGGCUGUGCCUUCUCAGAGGCCAAAUAGUGAUAUAAGGUGAAAUAGUCAAUCAGUAGCAAGAUUUUCUAGCCAAACUUUGAGGGAUAGGGCAGAGGUUAAUAGGGACAUAAUACAGGAUAAUCAAGCUCUCACCUUCUUGGAAAAAGGGAGAGUAGGACCUUAAUCAUGAGUACAUGUCUUUUGCAGGAAUACAAAGGUUUACUAUGGUGGCAUACUAUGUUUCACAUAUAUCUCAGUUUCGGAUCCUGUAUCAAUAAGUUUAUCUUUCUGUUUUCUACACUCUGUCCAACUGCCAUUAAGAGUUAAUGAUAAAGCUGACACUGGUUAAGAAGGAGAUUAAGUUCAUUGCAGAAGCAGGAAUCUAUAGUAGAAGGAGUCUUAGGUAUAGAAAAGAGGGCAUUAAGAGAAUAUUGCUUCUUGCAGUCUGAGGCAAUUUUGAGAAAAAGAAGACAGAAAAGAAAAGUGAGGCAGAUGCUUAGGGACACCUGAUUAUCUUAGAGAAGUGCAGGCAGAGAAAGAAAAUCUGAAAGCCUAGACAUAUGACCUCAAGAGCCUGAACAACUGCCUAAAGUUGCUGCUAAAUUAUUACACUGGACUGUUUAUUGGGUUAUUCUAAAAAUUAUACACAUCUCAUUUCUGAGAUGCUGUUGGUUUAUGAGGAAGAACAAAUAAGUUAUAGCUUAAAAAAUAACACCAUAAUUUCUUGG